AGCAGCCGCGGUAAUUCCAGCUCCAAUAGCGUAUAUUAAAGUUGUUGCAGUUAAAAAGCUCGUAGUUGAAUUUCGGGGUUUAUCCGUUGGUCGGGCUUUUGGGUUUGUACUGGCGUGAUGGAUUCCUACCUUCUGAAUAACCAGCAUGUCAUUAAUUUGGUGCGUUGGGGAAGCAGGACUGUUACCUUGAAAAAAUUAGAGUGCUUAAAGCAGGCUAUUGCCUGAAUACAUUAGCAUGGAAUAAUGAAAUAGGACGCAUGGUUCUAUUUUGUUGGUUUCUAGGAUCACCGUAAUGAUUAAUAGGGAUAGUUGGGGGCAUUAGUAUUCAAUUGUCAGAGGUGAAAUUCUUGGAUUUAUUGAAGACUAACUUCUGCGAAAGCAUUUGCCAAGGAUGUUUUCAUUAAUCAAGAACGAAAGUUAGGGGAUCGAAGACGAUCAGAUACCGUCGUAGUCUUAACCAUAAACUAUGCCGACUAGGGAUCGGACGAUGUUAAUUUUUAAUGACUCGUUCGGCGCCUUA
rnacentral:rRNA from 1 species